rnacentral:lncRNA from 1 species
GAAACCACUGGUCUCCCCAGCUUCUUCCAGCUCCAGACCUUACCCAUGAUGAAUCAAGAACCUGUUUGAGACCGGAGGUAGUCACACUGACACACACACAAACAGGUGAUGGAUCAGCGAAGAACAUUAGCUGGUGAUCAUGAUAACGACACAAUCUUGACUGAAGGAUCAUUAUGCACCAGGUUUUCCNNNNNNNNNACUAGCUAGUGAGUAAAUAAAUUGUAAUUCAAAGCCAGGUCUCAAGAUUCCCGAGCCUGUGGUCUUUCCUCGUACCACCAGCUUGUCCGUGUGCAUGUUCUGAAAGGCUUUCUUGAACGAAGGUGGCAUCUGCCUGCUCAAGGUCUCCUCCUCAGUGUCUUCCCAAUGAGAAACCCAGCUCUGCCCAUAUCUGACAGCAUGUCAUGUCAGAUCAGAUGGCAAAGGAAAGAGCCCCAAGGUUGGUGGGGAGUCAGGUCAGGCAGACU